rnacentral:misc_RNA from 1 species
GAUGAAGAACGCAGCGAAAUGCGAUAAGUAGUGUGAAUUGCAGAAUUCAGUGAAUCAUCGAAUCUUUGAACGCACCUUGCGCCCUUUGGCCAUUCCGAAGGGCAUGCCUGUUUGAGUAUCAUGAACACCUCAACUCUUUAUGGUUUUCCAUGAUGAGCUUGGACUCUGGGGGUUUUGCUGGCUCACAGUCGGCUCCUCUAAAAUGAAUCAGCUUACCAGUGUUUGGUGGGUAUCAUGGGUGUGAUAACUAUCUACGCUUGUGGUUUUUCCACCAGGUAACCUUCAGCAGUGGAGGUUCGCUGGAGCUCAUAGAUGUCUCUCCUCAGUGAGGACAGCCCUUUGAAUGUUUGAUCUCAAAUCAGGUAGGACUACCCGCUGAACUUAAGCAUAUCAAUAAGCGGAGGA